rnacentral:lncRNA from 1 species
GGGCCCGGCUGUCCCGCUUGGGCGUCCUCAGUGGAACCGCACACCCUUUCUCAGCGCGCCGGUCGUUUGGUCCUGUAGGGCCGAGGGGAAUUCGUGCGGUGUUGAGCACGCGGGAAGCACUUAACGAAAGGGAGCUGCCCCUCAGCCCUCGUGAGUCCGAUGUAAAGGAGUGAAGGAGACGAAGAACUGAAUCAGUAGUUGACCGCCUGUGAGCUGGCGAGCUGUGCCCUGGUAGGGCCUUAAAUCCCAGCCCCAGAAGUCGGAGGCAGGGCAGGCACCCCAAAGCGUGGAAGAGAUGCACCUGCGGAGUGAAAAUGCUGCUAUUGCUUCUAGGGUCAGCCUUGGUUCCUGGAACAAAGGAGCCGCAUGACUCGGGUCUGGCGAUGAUGUUGGGCUCUGCAGUGUCCUCAUCCUUCCCCCUCUCUGGGUAAUGAUAUCUUCCCAGGGUUUAAAGUGUGUCCUCUCUGCCAGUAGCUUGUCUCCACAGCCUCAUCUUUAAUUCCACCUGCCCCACCCAUUUUGGACACUGCAGCCAAGUUGCAGCAGAUCCGCAAACCUGGUAAUCCCUCACUUGAAAGUGCUGGAGGCUUUAGGAUGGGGUUCAGGGCCUGUGCAAUCUAACCGCCUGCUUUUUUUUUUUUUUUUUUUUUUUUUUUUUUGAGACGGAGUCGAAUCUCACUGUCUCCCAGGCUGGAGUGCAGUGGCGCCAUCACAGCUCAUUGCAGCCUCAACCUCCUGAGCUCAAGCCAUCCUCCCACCUCAGCCUCCCAAGUACCUGGGGUUACAGGCAAGCACCAUUACGCCUAGCUAAUUUUUCUGGGUUUUUUUUUUUUGUUUUUUUUUUUGUAUAGAUGGAUUUCGCCAUGUUGUCCAGGCUGGUCUUAAACUCUCGCUCUGUCUCCCAGGCUAGAGUGCAGUGGGGCAAUCUCGGCUCCCUGCAACCUCUGCCUCCUGGGUUCAAGCAAUUAUCCUGCCUCAGCCUACCAGUUAGCUGGGAUUACAUGUGUGCGCCACCGCGCCCGGCUAAUUUUUUUAUUUUUAGUAGAGGCGGGGUUUCACCAUGUUGACCAGGCUGGUCUCAAGACUACUGACCUCAAGUGAUCCCCCCCCCCCCCCGCCUCGGCCUCCCAAAGUGCUGGGAUUACAGACGUGAGCCACCGUGCCCAGCGGUUUUGCAUUUUCAAUUGUGGGGCACGGUGAGAAAAGACUUGAAGAAAGCAAGGGAGUGAGAUCCAUGGAAAUGUAGGGGGGAACCUUGCAGGCCUAUGGAACAGCCAGUGCAAAGGGCCUGGGGUGGGAGCUGCCUCAGGGUAGCCAGGAUGGCAGGAGGCACAGCUGCCGAGAGGAAGCAGGGGCCAGGUCCUGCAAGGUUAGAGGCCAUUGCUACUCCUGAACACAUUGGCAGGUUUUGAGCAGAGAAGUGACAUGAUUUUAGUUUUCUCAGGAUCCCUCUGGCUGCUGUGUGGAGGAAGAGGGGAGGGUGAGAGCAGGGAUACCUCUUAGGAGGCUGUGGUAGUAAUCCCAGGGAGCCAGGAUGGGAGCAGAGGAGGGGACAGGAAUUGGAUUCUGGAUGCAUUUUGGAGGGAGCAUGAAGGAAAGCGGGGUCAAAGGUUCCUCUGAGGCCUUGGCUGCCUCUCUUAUUCAUCUACAUCCAUUCUGUCAAGGACACCUUUCAUUUCUUCUUGGCACUGUCUCAAGGCCACCACGCUGCUGCCCACCUGACCAGCAGUGGCCUUUCCAGGCCUUCCAUCUUCUCCCCAGCAGCUUAUCUCUGCGUAGCCAGGUCCCAUUUCCCACACACCUUUUUUUAAAGUGUGUUGCACUGCUCUGGGUGCAGGACUGUAGCAGUGACCAGGGCAGCUCCAGAUGAAGCUUCUGCUCACAGGAACCUUUUCUACUGAAACAGAUGAUACCUAAACUCUCAGCUGUGUGACUUUAAGCAACUUGCACAACCUCUCUGUACUUCAGUUGCCUCCAUCUUCAAAUGGGGAUUAAAAAGUGUUGACAUCAUAGUGGUUGUGAGGAUUACAUGAUUUGAUAGUUUAUAAAGCACUUAGAACUUGUGAAGAAGAGUGCCUGGGGAUUGCCUAAGGUCAGGAGUUCAAGACCAGCCUGGCCAACAUGGAGAAACCUCAUCUCUGCUAAAAAUACAAAAACUAACCACGCAUGGUAGUGCACACCUCUAGUCCCAGCUACUUGGGGGGCUGAGGCAGGAGAAUCACUUGAACCUGGGAGGUGGAGAUUGCAGUGAGCCAAGAUUGCGCCACUGCACUCCAGCCUGGGCAACAGAGCAAGACUCGGUCUCCAAAGAAAAAAAAAGAACUGCCUGGCUACGGAAUAAGAACUACAUGGAGUUAUUAAAUCAAAAUCGGUGCACAAAUGAUAAUUCUUAAGAGUGAGUGCUACAGAGAACACAAAAGGCAAGGCACAGAGAGAUGACCUGGGAGGCAGGGAAGGAAAGCAUUCCCAGAGGUGAGUGGUUAGUGAAGGCUUGUCAGAGAUGGGACGAGGAGAAGCCUAGGGGGCACAGAAGAUGCAAAGGUGCUGAGGCCAGGGCAAAUUCAGAAUUUUUUUUUUUUUUGAGAUGGAGUCUCGCUCUGUCUCCCAGGCUGGAGUUCAGUGGUGCAAUCUCGGCUCACUGCAACCUCCACCUCCUGGGUCCAAGCAAUUAUCUGCCUCAGCCUCCAGAGUAGCUGGGAUUACAGGCAUCCACCACCACGCCCGGCUAAUUUUUGUGUUUUCAGUAGAGACAGGAUUUCACCAUCUUGGCCAGGCUGGUCUUGAACUCCUGGCCUCAUGAUCCACAUGCCUCAGCCUCCCAAAGUGCUGGGAUUACAGGCGUGAGCCACCGCGCCCAACCCAGAAUUCUCUUUUUUUGGGGGGGGGUGGGGGACAGAGUCUCACUCUGUCAUCCAGGCUGGAGUGCAGUAGCGCGAUCUUAGCUCACUGCAACCUCUGCCUCCCAGGUUCAAGCGAUUCUGCCUCAGCCUCCCGAGUAACUGGGAUUAUAGAUGCCCGCCACUACGCCUGGCUAAUUUUUUUUUUUUUUUUGUAUUUUUAGUAGAGAUGGGGUUUUACCAUGUUGGCCAGGCUGGUCUCAAACUCAUUACCUCCAGUGAUCCACCUGCCCUGGCCUGCCAAAGUGUUGGGAUUACACAGGCGUGAGCCACCAUGCCUGGCCCUGGCCCAGAAUUUUCAAGAAAUCUAAGGAAGGCUUUUUUGUGCUCUAAGUGUCCUUGUCUGUAAGGUAGGGGGGAUAAAGUGCCCUUGACUUCCCAAGGUUACUAUGCAGAUUGAACAAUAUAAUCCUCCCGGGUUGGCCUUGAGUCUUGUCAGACCUGAAGCUUAUGACAAUUUGAGAGCUCGCUUUGAGAAAAGAAACACAAAAAAUGAGGUGUGUGGCUUUAGAAGGAGCACAAAUGGGGUCCCCGAUGUUUAAGCUGCUUUAGUGUUACAGUAAAGCCACCUCUGAAUACCCAGAAGUGUUAGCUCUUACAACUUCCACCAACUCAGUCUUCUCCAAGCCUCUUGGUGGACUCAGAGGAGGACAGGGAGGCAGCCACUCUGGCCGGCCAGGGCCCUCCUCCCAGGUCCCUGGAACACAGGCGCACCAACCACAGCUGCGUCCUGGCCUGGGCAUCACGUGACGUCCCAGAGUGAUUCACGCUGCUAUUUCAGUGCUGCUGCAGUCAAGGGUAGGGAGAGGCAUGGCGAGGCUGUAUCUGGAGUCAGCUUGGAGGCCGUAGUUCCUGCAGCAGUGGCACUGAAGAGUCUCUUUCUGUCACCCGGUCUGGAGUGAAGUGGCGCAGUCUCAGCUCUCUGCAACCUCUGCCUCCCAGGUUCAAGCAAUUCUUCUGCCUCAGCCUCCCAAGUAGCUGGGAUUACAGGUAUGUGCCACCAUGCCUGGCUAAUUUUUGUAUUUUUAGUAGAGAUGCGUUAUUUCCAUGUUGGCCAGGCUGGUCUCGAACUACUGACCUCAGGUGAUCCACUCGCCUCGGCCUCCCAAAGUGCUGAGAUUAUAGGCAUGAGCCACUGCGCCCGGCCGAGGCAAUGGUUUUCAGCUAGGGUGUCCCCAGCUGUCAUUUGGCAAUGUCUGGAGACAUUUGGGUUGUCAUAACUGAGUGUGUGUGUGUGUUUGUGUGCACAUGCUGUAGUGGCCAAGGAUGCUGCUAAACACCCUACAAGGCACAGAAUAGCCAUCACAAUUAUUUGGCUCCAAAUGUCAAUAGAGCUGAGGGAGAGAAAUAUUAAUAUAAACACAGCAGUUCCUGCACACCGAGGUUGAGGCUCAAGGGUGAAACCUGCCUGCUACAUGGCAAGCAGAUUGCAACUGACCACAGCACAUAAUAUGACACCCAAUGGCAAGAGAACGAUGUCAAGGGUCACUGAGAGAGAUGAAAGAUGGUGCAUAUUCAUUGACACCCCUCUCAUUGCAAAGUGGGAGGUCUGUGUCCCCUCCCCUUGAAUUCCAUGGAGUUGGGACUACUCUGACCAAUAGAAUACAACAGAAAUAACAUCUUGCAGUUUCCAAGCCUUAUAAAACUGGCAGCUUCCACUUCUUGUUUCUUGGGACACACUGCCUUGGAGCCUGUGCUGCCACUGAAGAAGUCUGAGUGCCCUGAGGCCACCAUGGUGUGGGGAAGCCCACGCUAGCCUUGUGGCAAGCCAACUGUUCCGCAACAUAGUGCGGGCUCCAGGUAACAUGAAGGAAGCUGUCUUGGGCCCUCUAGCCCAGCCCAGUCUCCAGCGAAUCCCACUGAGUGACCCUAGUCAAGCCCACAUGGAGCAGAAGAAUCACCUAGCUGAGCCCUGACCCACAAAAUCUUGAGAAGGAAUUAAAUUGCUAUUGUUCCCAGCCAGAAAAGCAAGGUAGCUUAAGGUAGUUUGUUCCACAGCAGUAGGUAACUAGAACAGUCAUGUCCAAGGAUUUGUUCCUGCACUUUCCCCUUCGCCACGUAUGGCAGAAAUUCUCAGGAAUUCUCAUGAGCCAGUGUCAUGCUAGUGCUUGUUGCAUCUGCUCCUCUCCAGCCGCCCCAGCCCACUGAUCCAAGCACUCUGUGAAAUGACUUUUGUGUGUCGACUUCUUCCCACGAGGAAGACGUUUCUUUCAUUGCCAUGUGCUGGACCCCAGUGCAGAGCCCGGGGCAUUGUCAGUGCUUAGUGUUUGUUGAAUGAGCCAAUGGAACUGGUCACCCUCCGCUGCCCUGGGGGUCCCUCAGCCUUUCCCAGAAGGUCCCUUGGACCUUCCCUCUGGGCUUCCUCACUCCCUUUUCUGCUUAUUCUUUUCUGAGCCGAAUUGUUGUAGCCCCUCAGAUCCAAAUGGCCCAACCCCACUGUCUCCUUCCCAGCACCUCUGUUGAGAAAUACCAAGUGGUAGAGAGUGUGCCUGUGUGGACGUGGGUGGGAUACGUGCCUCUUCUACACCGCCCGUAGGAAGGUACGCUUAGCAAUAGCUAUUGAAAACACAAAAGUGAUUCUGCUCUUAGGAAUGUCUCCCGCAGGGACCCUACCCUGGUGGCACAGGACGUCUCACACAGCACUGUCUGGGACAGCAAAAGGGAUGGAAACCACCUGAGUCCAACUAUGGAGGACACUGGAAAACACGAUGCUGCCUCCAUAGGAUGGGAUAUUGGCAAGUGUGAAGAAACAACAUUUGGUUCUGGAGGCUGCAAGCCCAGGUUCAAGGCAUCAGCAGGUGUGGUUUCCUCCGAGGCCUCUCCCCGUGGCUUGCAGAUGGCUGCCUUCUUCCUGCAUCCUCACGUGGUCCCUCCUCUGCACUCCAGCAUCCUUAAUGUCUCUUUGUGUGUCCAACUUUCCGCCCCCCCCCACCCCUUUUUUUUCUGAUGGAGUCCACCCAGACUGGAGUACAGUGGCGUGAUCUCAGCUCACUGCAACCUCCACUUCCUGGGCUCAAGUGAUUCCCCCGCUUCAGCCUCCCGAGUAGCUGGGAUUACAGGCAUGUGCCACCAUGCCUGGCUAAUUUUUGUAUUUUUAAUAGAGAUGGGAUUUCACCAUAUUGGCCAGGCUGGUCUCAAACUCCUGACCUCAAGUGAUCCACCCAUCUCGGCCUCCCAAAGUGUUGAGAUUACAGGUGUGAGCCACUGCGCCCAGCCCCGAACUUUCCUCUUAAAAGGAUAUCAGUCAGGCCAGGCGCAGUGGCUCAUACCUGUAAUCCCUGCACUUUGGGAGGUUGAGGCGGGUGGAUUACUUGAGGUCAGGAGUUGGAGACCAGCCUGGCCAACAUGGUGAAAUCCCGUGUCUACUAAAAAUACAAAAAUUAGCCGGGCGUGGUGGCAGGCGCCUGUAGUCCCAGCCACUCGGGAGGCUGAGGCAGGAGAAUUGCUUGAACCUGGGAGGCAGAGGUUGCAGUCAGCUGAGAUCAUGCUACUGCACUCCAGUCUGGGCAACAGAGCAAGACUCUAUCUCAAAAAAAAAAAAGACACCAGUCAGACUGGAGUAGGGCUCACCCUAAUGGCCUGAUUUUAACUUAAUUACCUCUUUUUUUUUCUUUCUUUUUUUGAGACAGAGUCUCGCUCUGUCACCCAGGCUUGAGUGCAGUGGCGCGAUCUCAGCUCACUGCAACCUCUGUCUCCCGGGUUCAAGUGAUUCUCCAGCCUUAGCCUCCCAAGUAGCUGGAAUUACAGGCGUGUACCACCACACCAAGCUAAUUUUUGUAUUUUUUAGUAGAGACAGGGUUUCUUCAUGUUGGUCAGGCUGGUCUCAAACUCCUGACCUCAGGUGAUACACCUGCCUCGGCCUCCCAAAGUGAUGGGAUUAUAGGUGUGAGCCACUGCACCCAGCCUUAAUUACCCCUUUAAAGGCCCUAUAUGCAAAUACAGUCACAUUCUGAGCUACUGGGGGUUAGGGCUUCAACAUAGGAAUUCAGGCAGACAUGAUUCAGCCCAUAACAAGGGCUUUCACUUUUUUUUUUUUUGUAGAAACAGGGUCUCACUAUGUUGCCCAGGCUACUCUUGAACUCCUGGGUUCAAGUGAUUCUCCAGCCUCAGCCCCCAGAUUAGCUGGGGCUACAGGUGCACCAGCACGCCCAGCUAAUAUUUUUACUUUCAUUUUUUUUAGACGGAGUUUAGCUAUCUUUGCCCAGGCUAGAGUGCAAUAGCGUGAUCUUGGCUCACCACAACCUCUGCCUUCCGGGUUCAAGAAUUCUCCUGCCUCAGCCUCCCAAGUAGCUGGGAUUACAGGCAUGCACCACCAUGACCGGCUAAUUUUGUAUUUUUAGUAGAGACGGGGUUUCUCCAUGUUGGUCAGGCUGCUCUCGAACUCCCGACCUCAGAUGGUCUGCCCGCCUCAGCUUCCCAAGGUGCUGGGAUUACAGGCGUGAGCCACCGCGCCCGGCCAAUAUUUUUUGUGGAGUCAGGGUCCUACUAUGUUUCCCAGGCUGGUCUUGAACUUCCAGGCUCAAGCGAUCCUCCUGCCUUGGCCUCCUAAAGUACUGUGAUUCCAGGCCUGAGCCACAGCACCCUGCUGGCUUUCACUUUUUACUUUAUUUCUAUGUUGUUAAAAUCUAUUACAAUAAACAUUACUUUUAAAGGAUUUUGUGCACUUCAAUCCAAAUGUCCCUGAAGCAUCUACCUCCCUCCUGGGCCUUCUCUGAAGUCAGAGUAGGGGCAGCUGAAGCCCUCCCUCUGCUGGCUCCAGGAACGAAACCCCCUGGCCCACUAAGGCCCUUCCCCUGGGGAGGGUGGCGUGGGAUAAGAACACUCAGUAUCUGUCUGGCCCUCUCAAGAUCACUGAGGACUUUCCCAGACAGCCGACAUGGUCUUCAGAUCAGUCUGCCAAACGUCACAUAGAGGCUGGGCACGGUGGCUCACGUCUGUAAUCCCAGCACUUUGGGAGGGCAACGUGGGUGGAUCACCUGAAGUCAGGAGUUCGAGACCAGGCUGGCCGACAUUGCAAAACCUCGUCUCUACAAAAAUAUAAAAGUUAGCUGGGCGUGGUGGCACGCGCCUGUAGUCCCAGCUACUCGGGAGGCUGAGGCAGGAGAAUCACUUGAACCUGGGAGGCGGAGGUUGCAGUGGACCAGGAUCGUACCACUGCACUCCAGCCUGGCCAACAGAGUAAGACUCCAUCUCAAAAAAAAAAAAAAAAUCAGGUGGAGGGGCAUCCUCUGUUUUCCAGGCUCCUGGUUUAUAGCUGCAAGCUCUGGACAUUUAAUACCUUGUAAUCCAUCCUUCCCUUAUAUACCUCUCAACAUAAUGACUGUACAAUAUGGCCAAUGAAACGGAUAGUAAAAUGAAACAUAGGCAAGUAAUAAAGUGAGAUAUGAAGACAGUAGUACAACCUGGAUGAGGGUGGAAUGCAAAAUUGUCAUCAGAGAAGACGACAGGAGGACCUGAGAGCUGGAGGGACGGACGCUUAUCUACCCAAAUGAGGCUAUAAAAAGUAGAAAGAUGGCAGGGUAAAAAUGGGGGAGGGCUGCCACUUAAGACUCUCAGGAAACAGUGAUGCAUCAGACUUUAUCAUUAAGUCCCAGGGGAGAGGAGUGGAUCUGGGGAUCCCUUUAGAUAUGGUAGAAUUCUCCUGGGUCCUGCUCUGGUCUUAAAUCUCAGACCAGUAGCAGGAAAACCCUAACUGUACUGUGGUCCUGAAUGUCACUGCAACUUCAGCCCUGCUGUGGUGGUGUAUCUGCUCCUCUGGCUGGCUCUGCCACCUUGAAAGGUGAGACCAUGUGGAGCAGAGCCAAGGGGCCUCAGCUGACAGCCAGCACCAACCAUCAGUCAUGUGAGUGAGACCACCUUGGACCCCCAACCCCAGUUGGGUUGUCAGAUGACUAUAGCUGCAGGUACAAGAGUGACCCAGUGACACCAGCAGAUGAACCGGCUAGCUUAGCUCAGCCCAAACUGCUGACUUAGAACUGUUGUUAUGUUAAGCCAGUACAUUUUCAGUGACUCAUUACAAAGCAGUAGAUAACUGUGACAGUCUAAGAGGAUCUAAGUUUGGAAACAGGAUUGAAUAUUUAAGAUAACUGAUUUGCCAGAUUUAUAAGUUUAUUAGUAUAUAAGAGUUGCUUGGCUGGGCACAGUGGCUCAUGCCUGUAACCCUAACACCUUGGAAGGCUGAAGCAGGAAGAUUGCUUGAGCCCAGGAGUUUGAGACCAGCCUUGGCAACACAGUGAGACCCAAUCUCUUAAAAAAAAAAAAAAAAAAAAAAACUCCGUCUCCCUCUCGCUCUCCGUCUCCCUCUCGCUCUCCCUCUCCCCACGGUCUCCCUCUCAUGCGGAGCCGAAGCUGGACUGUACUGCUGCCAUCUCGGCUCACUGCAUCCUCCCUGCCUGAUUCUCCUGCCUCAGUCUGCCGAGUGCCUGCGAUUGCAGGCACGCGCCGCCACGCCUGACUGGUUUUGGUGGAGACAGGGUUUCGCUGUGUUGGCCGGGCCGGUCUCCAGCCCCUAACCGCGAGUGAUCCGCCAACCUCGGCCUCCCGAG